GAUAGAGGAGCGGUACACAUAAGUAUUUACCGGCAAGGUUGGGCGACCGUCGGUAAAGAAAGGGAAGACCGCCGAAGUAAUAAAAGCAGCCUAAGCUUUUAUUGCUGGGCCGUCAGAGAACAUCUGGCGGACUGUCACAUUUUUUUUGUGAAGCGCUAUCGU
rnacentral:ncRNA from 1 species